rnacentral:rRNA from 1 species
GACGAACCGUGCGAACGUUGUUCGGAAUCACUGGGCUUAAAGAGCGCGCAGGCGGUCGUCCAAGUCGCGUGUGAAAGCCCCCGGCUCAACUGGGGAGGGUCACGCGAUACUGGUCGACUCGAAGGCAGGAGAGGGUAGUGGAAUUCCCGGUGUAGUGGUGAAAUGCGUAGAUAUCGGGAGGAACACCAGUGGCGAAGGCGACUUCCUGGCCUGUUCUUGACGCUGAGGCGCGAAAGCUAGGGGAGCAAACCGG